AACGCACAUUGCGCCCCUCGUUACAGGGGGGCAUGCCUGUCUGAGUGUCUUUUAAACCAUAGACUUUUGUCUGUUUUGGGCCUCGCGCCUCCGCGCGGCCUAAAAGUCAUUGCUGUCGAGCGGACGGGAUCCAUUGGGAUGGCGCCGCCUCGACUCGCUUCGCUUUCUCCGACGGACCUCAGAUCAGGUAGGACCACCGCCUGAACUUAA
rnacentral:misc_RNA from 1 species